UCCAUCGGGUGGAAGGCACCUAGGGGCUAA
rnacentral:piRNA from 1 species